UACGUAGGGGGCAAGCGUUGUCCGGAAUCAUUGGGCGUAAAGAGCGUGUAGGCGGCUCGAUAAGUCUGCUGUGAAAGUCCAGGGCUCAACCCUGGAAGGCCGGUGGAAACUGUCGGGCUAGAGUCCGGAAGAGGAGAAUGGAAUUCCUGGUGUAGCGGUGAAAUGCGCAGAUAUCAGGAAGAACACCCGUGGCGAAGGCGGUUCUCUGGGACGGUACUGACGCUGAGACGUGAAAGCGUGGGGAGCGAACAGG
rnacentral:rRNA from 1 species